UGAUCCGUCACACAUACCUAACCGACGCUCAAUCCAAAUCUGCCGACCUCGCUGCCACAAUCCCAGCCGCAUCAACACCGCCAUACCGGAGCAAAUAGCCACCAUGUGCGCCGCCGUGACUGUUUUCGAACAAACACUCGCCUGACAAGUCCCGGUGGUUCUUCUUCGUCACGUUUCCAACCCUAAUUUGCAGGUUAUUUGGUUUCGACGAACAUAAGCCUAAAAAUCUAACGGUAACGAUUGGAUUGACAUUUUAGCAUCGGUUGAUGAUGCAGACGUUUCUAGUAUGGUAAGGAUUAGUGAAUGGGAGUUUUGUCAUCUACUCAGCUAGUUUAUAGGCAAUAAUUAAGGUUUGAAGUACUUAAUUCUACACAGAUUAGUAGUUUUUCUAGGUUGUGCAUCAGUAGGCAUGUUAAACAUGGAUAUGUUGGAAGUAAUUUGAGUGUUGCUGCUAUGAAUUCGGUGUGUGUGUUGAUGCAAUGGAGGUUUCUUAGAGAGAGAAAGAGGAAAGAGAGAAGGGACUUUAGGUGGGGUUUUACUAAUAGUGGGGUCUACAUUUAGUAUUUUAAUUUUAUUUUUUAACAGUAAGGGUAUUUUGUAAUUUUACAUCCACUUAACACCAUAAACUAACCUCCAUUCAUGUUAAGGACUAUUCGAGUAACAAGUCGUCAAACCACAGGGAGCAUACAUGUAAUUUUAAAAAGUUGGGGACUAAAGGUGAAAUUUCACAAAACCACAGGGACUAUCCGUGCAUUUUACUCAAAAAUAUUUUUAUAACUCAAGAUUUUGUAAGACACGAUGAAACGUAUUUCUCAAUAACAAAAUUCUAAAUUAUUCAUACAUUUAGUAGAUUGUUUUUAUACAUUUAGUAGAUUGUUUUCGAGAUACGAGAUUAGUGUUUUAAGUACUUAAACUUAUUCGCGUGUCCCACCUCAGAAUAUACUCCCGUAUCCAGUCUUCUAUAUUCAGUCUUACAGGUGAAUGUACACUAAUGAUAUCUAUAAACGGGUAGUGCGAGACCAUGAGAUCUCAGGUUAGAACUUCUGUUCAGACAAAGAGAUGAUGGCUCGUCUUUAGAUGUGUCCCGUUUGGGGAUCUUUUCUUCAACAGCACAUGAUUAGCAUUUUUCAAUGUUUCAUCAUUUUUUAUGCUGAGGGUAAGCUUUAAGAUUAAAGCAGUGCAGAGUAUUACACGAGGACUAGGCUAUUGCUUCCGCAAAAUCAGAAGUCCUGGUAUAAUACCCCAGAUAUCAUCACGUACAAAGACCUAGUAUGUCAGAAAUAGAGUCUUUCAAACAGGAUUUCAGGGUUACCUAUAUAUCCGAGAGAUGUUCCCCACGUAAUAAGCAAGUAUUUGAUAUUUAGGUUUAUAUCUCGAAAACAAUCUACUAAAUGUAUAAAAACCUACUGGCAUAUCAUCAGUGAGACCGUUUAUCACAUUUAACUUUCCAAUUCUUUAGCGUGUUGUGAUUGUCUACUGAUGUACUAUCAUUUCCUCUUUUUCUCAACAAAACUCGUUUUUGAUUUUUCAAUGUUUUUGGAUUUUGGAUUUUAUCAUGUUUUUGGCUUUUUCAAAUUUUCUAAUGUUUUUGGAUUUUCUGAAAUUUCUUACUCCCCCUAAAAUUCAAAACCAUUUAAAGAAAAUUUGACAAACCGAGGUGAAUUGCUUCAGUUCUCCAUUCACUUGGCAUAAACAAUCAGAACUCCCCCUGAAAACAAACUAUUUUCCCAUUAUGAUUUCAAAACACUUAAGUUUGUUUUAAUCAAAAUGGUUUU
rnacentral:lncRNA from 1 species